rnacentral:rRNA from 1 species
CCUACGGGAGGCAGCAGUGGGGAAUAUUGGGCAAUGGGCGCAAGCCUGACCCAGCAACGCCGCGUGAAGGAAGAAGGCUCUCGGGUUGUAAACUUCUUUUAUCAGGGACGCAGCAAGUGACGGUACCUGAUGAAUAAGCAACGGCUAACUACGUGCCAGCAGCCGCGGUAAUACGUAGGUGGCAGGCGUUAUCCGGAUUUCCUGGGUGUAAAGGGCGUGUAGGCGGGAAAGCAAGUCAGAUGUGAAAACCAUGGGCUCAACCUGUGGCCUGCAUUUGAAACUGCUGUUCUUGAGUACUGGAGAGGCAGACGGAAUUCCUAGUGUAGCGGUGAAAUGCGUAGAUAUUAGGAGGAACACCAGUGGCGAAGGCGGUCUGCUGGACAGCAACUGACGCUGAGGCGCGAAAGCGUGGGGAGCAAACAGGAUUAGAUACCCCGGUAGUC